UACGAAGGGGGCUAGCGUUGUUCGGAUUUACUGGGCGUAAAGGGCGCGUAGGCGGCGUGUUAAGUCACUUGUGAAAUCUCUGAGCUUAACUCAGAACGGUCAAGUGAUACUGAUGUGCUAGAGUGCAGAAGGGGCAACCGGAAUUCUUGGUGUAGCGGUGAAAUGCGCAGAUAUCAGGAGGAACACCGGUGGCGAAGGCGGGUCUCUGGGCCGUAACUGACGCUGAGGAGCGAAAGCAUGGGGAGCGAACAGG
rnacentral:rRNA from 1 species